GCCUCGGUAGCGCAGUAGGCAGCGCGUCAGUCUCAUAAUCUGAAGGUCGUGAGUUCGAUCCUCUGCCGGGGCA
rnacentral:tRNA from 1 species